UGUAUUAUCGCAUUUUUAAUUAUCACAAUGGAUAUUGACGUUACUAAGCGGUUUGUCGUUUUGAAAUUUAUAAAUGAAGAUGUUGAUUGCGACGAGGAAGACGAUUCUUUAUUUGAAGUUGGUCUUAUUAAAUGGCUAAAACAAUUAGAUGAAGAAACAAAUGCAAAAAUUUCUUGGCCUCCUAAAUCUGAGCAGAGUACUGCAAUUAAAAAGAAAUAGAUGCACUUCCUUCAUGGCCGAUAUAUAAUGUUACUGUUUUAAAAUGUUAUGAUACACUUUUGGCUGCACGAAAUGCACGAAAUGGAUAUAUUAUGUCGUCUAAUUAUGAAACAGAGUGUGAAUUUGGUCGUGGUAAACGUAAAAAAAUUAAGCGGCAGUUUGCAUGUGAUGAAUCUCUCUCGACAGAAGUGACAAAAAAAAAGAAAUUUAAAAAUAUUUCAACUUCUGAUGAUUCAGAUUUUGAUAGAGAUGAUAGUGCUAUAAAAAAUAUAAAUUUAAACAUGCUCCUUCUCCGCCACUUAUCUUGUUUCGAUCAGAAAAUAAUAAAGUAAAACAAUAUCAAAACAAUAUUAUCACAGAUAGCAAAACAAAAAAAUUUGAAAGAUUACAGAAAAAUAAACAAUUAGAAAAAAAAAUGACGCAAUGUUGACAUUUUCUAAAAAUCAUAAAUCUAAAAAGGAUCUCUUACUUACAAAAAUAUGUCAAGCAAGGAAGAUAACUUCAGUUACGGAUAACAAAACAAAAAUCAUAGAGAUUGCAAGAGAAAAACAGAAAUGUUUAAUAGAAGAUAAUAUGGAUUCUGAUAAUGCUACAGAAGAAAUAUUGAUCCUAAUAUUCCACGAGAGGACGAUUUUUCAAUGAAAGUUCAGGAUAUGUCAUCAAAUAAAGAUGUAUCUCCAAGUACAAGUGCAAGAUCGAUAAAUAUAGAGACACCAGAAUUACGUCAAAAGAGUCCAGUUACUUCACAUGUGACAGCUGUAACUACACCGAGU